AGCUAGCACACCUACGUCGGGCCGACGUUGGCUUUGCAUCGGCAACCGCCGGCAAUAUCGGCAUCGGCAAACUGCAGCGGUCCGCUGUCAGGCCAAUGCUGGUGAUUGGCACUGACAUUGAACCUGAUAUAUGAUUUGAUCUUGUUAUGAUAACAUAAAAGAAAAAAACCACAUUUGUCGAUUACAAUGUGACAAAUAAUAGAUCAAGUAUAUUUACGAAUAAUACAAUAAUUCUAUUCGAACUCAAAAUAUUAACUUUAUUUUUAAUUUUAAAAUUAAAUAGAUCAAGCACAUUCACUGACCAUUUUGGCUGCACAUAUACAACAGACAGAGAAGAUACAGACGGGAUUCGUCACAUCUUACAAUUCAUUCAGCAAAUUACAUGAUAUUGGCAAAAGUUUGGAAUAUCGCGAGCGGUUAUGUUACGUUGGUCCAACGUUUUCACAACAUGUUUCCAAGGGAAGCUACUCUUGUUAUAGAGGGCGCUGUUACUCACGCGCGUCUUUUCAAGCAGACGACGAAAGGAUGAUGCGCGGAGGGCUGAGGGAAAAUCUAUUUUGCGAAAAUCAGAUGUUUAGCCAUUUCCUAUUGGUAAACAUGGAUGAGCUGAAUGAACUCUUAGCAGCUUUUCCAAAAUCGAGCAACUGAGAGAGAACUGAAGCUGAGGAGGAAGCCUGCAGCUGGGCUCUUACAAGCCACUGACAAGUACAUGGUGACCUGUGUAAAAGAAUGGCUUCGAGUUCCAGGAGCAAGGCUUAGAAAUGGCAUAAGGAAAACGCGUACUGAAAAACAGAGAUGUAGAUAGAGAAUCUGCAAACAAAAGUGCUGAAUUGCAGCGGAACAAAGAAAUCCAAAAUGUUGGUGUUGACAACAUAUUUUUCACAGGGUUAUGACCCUUGUUUUUGAACUUGGUACAUAUUCUGCCAGAUUCUCUUGGACACUACUGAAGUUAAUAAAUGAAACUUUCCGUGCUUACCUAAGGUACAAACUCCAGAAGAUGGUUAUAAGAACUUAUUUUGUAUGGAGUUAUGGCCUUUGCUUCAUGCUAUUUUAACUUGAUGAAAUAGGGGGGGGGGGGGGCUUUGUCUUGCAAACGAAUUUGAAGCCACAUAAAUGAAAUUUUGCAGGCCAAUAUGAGGGGUAUAUGUUUAGACUGUUUUAAAACAGGUUUUGAGAAUAUAUGUUUCACAUCCGCCUUGUUGCAGGUAGUAACACUGUUUUCUUGUAAAUAAUAAUUAAUUAGUAAUAAAGUUUAUUAUUCUA